AACAGUUAACCCUUCCCUCGGCAAAAUACCCAGGCCUUGGUUUCCUCCGCAGUUUUGGUUUCAGACCCUUCCUCCUUUCCUUCGACCCCCUAGGCUUACCGUCUGCGGCCAAAGAGAUUCUUCGCCACGAGGCUACCUUUGCUGUCCUCUGAAGCCCCGGCCCCUUCCCAAAUUAGCAGCCCCAGUGAAUCUGGCGGUGGCCCCUCCCCUUCUCCUUAGCAUCUUUAGAAACAGCGCAACAGGCCAUUGGCCCUAUCCGAACCCCAAGAAUCAGGCACUACUCCAGGCUGUCAAUUGAGCAGUGAUGAAGACAAAUACUGAAGUUUAGAUUCUAGAGAACUAGGGGCGGGGAUUAUCUGUCGCUGUUAAGCCAUAUGAAAAUAAGUUACAUACUCAGAUGAGUAUCUCUUCUAUAAGCCAGUUCUAAGAAAAAGCCCCCUGAACCUCUGAAUCCCCAUGAAUCCUUCAGCUUUUGGCUCGCUCUGCUGUCAUCUUUCCAGGAACUCUAGUCCUAACUUCCAGGACUAAGAGAGGAAGACAAAUGUCCUGUGUCCAUGCUCGUCACAGAAGAGAGAACAGUGGCAUACAAAGAAGGCAAGGCAGCAAUAUGCUAAGUCAGAGAAUAGGGGAUGUGGCUAAGAGUACCUAAGAGAGCACCUGGCAGUCCCUCAGGUGUCCCCUGGAAACAUGGACAUCUUGGAAAGACUUGUCCCCUUCCUCACAAUGGAAUUUAUUAAAUCAGCCACCUUCUGAAGGAAAGACUAGGAUUCCUCCAUCAAUCUUCAUGAACACCAAAAUAACUCACCAUCUUUGCUUUGUUAGUUCACUGGCCUACAUCACUUCAUAGUUUAGUCUCCCUCAACCACAGGAUGUGGCCACCAAAAAUUAGUAAAUAAACUUUACUCUACAUGAAUGCUAGCGUGCUUAAAACAAAAGAUGUACUGGUCCUACUCUUCCCUGAGCGAGGAAGUCCAUACCUGCAUUUACCAACAGAGCUAUGACCAGACAUAAGGUAACAAAGAAAUGUAUCUUAUGAGAAAUUUAACCUUUUGGAAUAUUUAAUCUAUGAAUGGAAAAUUCAGAGGGAUACCAUAAACUGAAGUUGGAAAGCUAUCGUACAAGCAAUGUCUUAGAUUUCCUCUGUUCUUCCAGGGGGACAAGACAGAUUUCAGAUCACAUAAAAAGAAAAAAAUAAUAAUUAGAGCUGUGCUAAAAUGAAAUGGAUAUCUUUAUAAACAAUGAGUCUCCAAUUAUUUCUUUGCAUCUAUACAGUUUAUUAUAAAAAUACAUUUUGUAGCAUCCAAAUUUUUAACAUCUUAAUCUCUUAUGUGAUGAUAUUCUGCUGUUAUCUCUAAACAUUUAAAAUUCUUCCUUUUUAAAGUGUGUCCUUAUUUCACAUUUGAUUGUACAGGUUGCUAUCAUUAUCAGUUGGUGUAAUAAGAUUCCUAUAAAGAUCUUGUUAUCUUCGAGGAGUAACCCAGUAGGGAAUAAUGGGUGUAAUAAGAUUUCUGCACAGCUCUUGCUUAAUAGUAAGAUGGUCUAUAAUUUUCUCUCUUUUUAGAUGGUCAGUAGCUACUCUGAAAUAUAAACUCUGCCAUAUAAACUCCUUAUAAAAGUAAGAUCCACAUUAAAAUAAAAUAUCACAGUAAUUAUUCUGUAUGGUUUGAGCAAAUGACAUCUUUUAUGGGAAAGAGAAGUUACUAAACAAUAUUUACAAGUUGCUACCUGGGCUUCACUAUCAAACUCUGUGCCCUUCAAACUUUAAUAUUAGCUUGGCUGUUUUUAUUUUUUCUGGUACCGAAAUUGAACCCGGUACCUUUUCACACUAAGCUA